GUGUUAAUAAUAAAUGCAUAUAAAAGGCGUUCGUCAUCAUCAUCCCACCUGCGUUUGUCUCUGACGAAAUAUAUAAGCAGCAGCAAAUUAUGUAAUGCAAAAGCCACAUCAUAAAGGCGUACGUAUUCACAGCUGCGCAGUUCGCAGCGUUGGUCAGGAUUGCGAUGCGAAAGCACAAUGUAUAAUGUGGACGUGCUGCCUGAGAAGUCUCACAGCAACCGCAUGUUACCAAAGAGCACGAGUUGGUGGAAGAUGCUCAAGCUAUAACAUCAGUGGAAUAUACAACUCUAAUUGCCCUUGUGCACCAGGUCAUGAUAGCCACUGCUCUGAAGUCGCUUAAUUUGGGUUGCCACGCUUUCUUCUACCCUGUGGUGGCAUGAUUUCGCAAGGGCUUGCUUCAGGCACGUGGUUGCGAUUCCUCUUUUAAUUAUUUUUGAAUGCCCCGAAUCGAAAGGAAGAAGCCCUUUCUCACCCCGCACUUUGUACGACCAACAGGAACGUGUAUCAUGGGAAGAUGCGUAUUACAAAACACCGGUAGACACAACUUUCGACAACGAUUAUAGUUACUUCAAAAUAGGUUUAAACGAAAUGCAUCACCCAAGCGUAGGUGAAAUAAAAACAAAUUAUUACGGUUUAUAUAACAUGGAGCACAACGCCAAUAAAUAUGUGGGUUUCUUUUUAAA
rnacentral:lncRNA from 1 species